rnacentral:rRNA from 1 species
AGUAGGGAAUCUUCCGCAAUGGACGAAAGUCUGACGGAGCAACGCCGCGUGAGUGAUGAAGGCCUUCGGGUCGUAAAGCUCUGUUGUUAGGGAAGAACAAGUACCGGAGUAACUGCCGGUACCUUGACGGUACCUAACCAGAAAGCCACGGCUAACUACGUGCCAGCAGCCGCGGUAAUACGUAGGUGGCAAGCGUUGUCCGGAAUUAUUGGGCGUAAAGCGCGCGCAGGCGGUCCUUUAAGUCUGAUGUGAAAGCCCCCGGCUCAACCGUGGAGGGUCAUUGGAAACUGGGGGACUUGAGUGCAGAAGAGGAAAGUGGAAUUCCACGUGUAGCGGUGAAAUGCGUAGAGAUGUGGAGGAACACCAGUGGCGAAGGCGGCUUUUUGGUCUGUAACUGACGCUGAGGCGCGAAAGCGUGGGGAGCAAACAGGAUUAGAUACCCUGGUAGUCCACGCCGUAAACGAUGAGUGCUAAGUGUUAGAGGGUUUCCGCCCUUUAGUGCUGC